rnacentral:rRNA from 1 species
UACGGGGGGGCAAGGCGUUGUUCGGCAAUUACUGGGCGUAAAGAGCUCGUAGGCGGCUCAGUAAGUCGGAUGUGAAACUACGGGGCUCAACCCCGAGACGCCAUCGAUACGUGCUGUGGCUUGAGUCUGGUAGGGGAACACGGAAUUCCGUGGUGAGCGGUGAAAUGCGCAGAUAUCAGGAGGAACGACCGAGUGGCGAAGGCAGUGUUCUGG